UACGGAGGGUGCAAGCGUUAUCCGGAUUCACUGGGUUUAAAGGGUGCGUAGGCGGCUUUAUAAGUCAUUGGUGAAAGCUCGCAGCUUAACUGCGAAACUGCCAUUGAAACUGUAAAGCUUGAAUGUGGUUGAAGUGGGCGGAAUACAACAUGUAGCGGUGGAAUGCUUAGAUAUGUUUUAGAACACCGAUUGCGAGGGCAGCUCACUAAGCCAAUAUUGACGCUGAGGCACGAAAGCGUGGGUAGCAAACAGG
rnacentral:rRNA from 1 species